rnacentral:rRNA from 1 species
CGGACGGGUGAGUAACGCGUGGGUAACCUGCCUCAUACAGGGGGAUAACAGUUAGAAAUGACUGCUAAUACCGCAUAAGACCACAGUACUGCAUGGUACAGUGGUAAAAACUCCGGUGGUAUGAGAUGGACCCGCGUCUGAUUAGGUAGUUGGUGAGGUAACGGCCCACCAAGCCGACGAUCAGUAGCCGACCUGAGAGGGUGACCGGCCACAUUGGGACUGAGACACGGCCCAG